rnacentral:misc_RNA from 1 species
GAUGAAGAACGCAGCGAAAUGCGAUAAGUAAUGUGAAUUGCAGAAUUCAGUGAAUCAUCGAAUCUUUGAACGCACAUUGCGCCCGCCAGUAUUCUGGCGGGCAUGCCUGUUCGAGCGUCAUUACAACCCUCAGGCCCCCGGGCCUGGCGUUGGGGAUCGGCGGAGCCCCCCGUGGGCACACGCCGUCCCCCAAAUACAGUGGCGGUCCCGCCGCAGCUUCCAUCGCGUAGUAGCUAACACCUCGCGACUGGAGAGCGGCGCGGCCACGCCGUAAAACACCCAACUUCUGAAUGUUGACCUCGAAUCAGGUAGGAAUACCCGCUGAACUUAAGCAUAUCAAUAAGCGGAGGA